rnacentral:lncRNA from 1 species
UUCAUAACCAGCCACUUCCCACUCUGUGCCGCAACCAUUCUACAACUCCAGCCACCAUUCUACACCUUCAUACACCAUUCUACACCUCCAUACACCACCCAUACCCCUUGCCGCACCACCAUACCAUCCUAACUCCCUUCCUAAACCAAAAUCACAUCCAAAAAUCCCCUAAACCCUCUCUGCCGCAGCAAGGAGAAGAAGAAAAGAGGAGCUUGACGUGCAGAAAUUCAAAGUGGAAUUGUUGGGCGUUUUAGGUGUAAUCUUUCUUAUGUCUUCGAUGUUUCAAUUCAAUAAACUUUGUGUUGUGAGUAUGAGGAACUAAACCCCUUUAGUUGGCUUGCAAUAUGAUUUGAUUACAUUCAGUUGUUAUUUCAUGAGUUGUGGAUUCAAUUCGUUCAUCUAUUUGAUUGAUAACUUAUUUGUGUAUGUUGAUUGAGAGUGCACGCUUAGUUUUCAUGCAUGAAUAUGAUGCUAGAUUAUGAGGGAGUUUCACCUAAUAGUUACAAUCUUAUAAUCACAAGUAGUGAAGAUCGCUUGAAAACGAUCGUGUUGAAUGAAUUCUUGGCAUAAGUUUCAUGCAAUUCAUAGUAACAAAUGCUUCGUCAAUGCUUAUGUUUUUCAUAGAACGUAAUGAUUCUUGCUUGUAUCUCUAUUAUGCAAUUCAUGUAGGGAACUUGUAGGGAAUGUUUUGGGUUGUCGUAUGCAAUCAUCCAACUCAAUAACUCGUGGAAAAACUGAGGGUUAAUUAGUGCAAUUCACGGUUAAUUUGGGGCGUUGAGUAUUCAUAAUUUAUUGAAAGAACAACUGAAAAUCGUUUUGUUUGCAAGUGUGACAUGUGUGGAGAAGAACCUCC